rnacentral:rRNA from 1 species
UACGUAAGUGGCGAGCGUUAUCCGGAAUCACUGGGCGUAAAGAGUGCGUAGGCGGCGUGGUUAGUUGGAAUUGAAAUCCCCGGGGCUCAACUCCGGACCCGGUUCCAAAACUGCCAUGCUAGAGCAGAUCAGAGGACAGCGGAAUUCCCGGUGUAGCGGUAAUAUGCGUAGAUAUCGGGAGGAACACCAGUGGCGUAGGCGGCUGUCUGGGGUCUUGCUGACGCUGAGGCACUAAAGCCAGGGGAGCGAACGGG